rnacentral:rRNA from 1 species
AAAACUUUCAACAACGGAUCUCUUGGUUCUGGCAUCGAUGAAGAACGCAGCGAAAUGCGAUAAGUAAUGCGAAUUGCAGAUACCGUGAGUCAUCGAAUCUUUGAACGCACAUUGCGCCCUUUGGUAUUCCGAAGGGCAUGCCUGUUCGAGCGUCAUUA